rnacentral:sRNA from 1 species
UCGUCGCAAAGUCUAAUUAGACUACCGUA